CCGGAGAUUGGCAGGGAUGUGUCAGCUGACCGGUGUUCGCCCACGGCGAACCGUUCGCAGCAAGUUCGCGAAUGGUUACCGACAUCACUAGUCUCUAGUGGACGCUUUCUCAACAACCUGGCUCACCUUCUGGCUAGCCUAGGUUUGUGUAGGCACCGUUAGACCUGAUACUUUCUUUGACAAUACGGAGUUGGAUUUGAG